rnacentral:rRNA from 1 species
CCUACGGGGGGCAGCAGUGGGGAAUAUUGGACAAUGGGGGCAACCCUGAUCCAGCCAUGCCGCGUGUGUGAAGAAGGCCCUCGGGUUGUAAAGCACUUUCAGUGAGGAAGAACGCCUGGUGGUUAAUACCCAUCAGGAAAGACAUCACUCACAGAAGAAGCACCGGCUAACUCCGUGCCAGCAGUCGCGGUAAUACGGAGGGUGCGAGCGUUAAUCGGAAUUACUGGGCGUAAAGCGCGCGUAGGUGGCUUGAUAAGCCGGUUGUGAAAGCCCCGGGCUCAACCUGGGAACGGCAUCCGGAACUGUCAAGCUAGAGUGCAGGAGAGGAAGGUAGAAUUCCCGGUGUAGCGGUGAAAUGCGUAGAGAUCGGGAGGAAUACCAGUGGCGAAGGCGGCCUUCUGGACUGACACUGACACUGAGGUGCGAAAGCGUGGGUAGCAAACAGGAUUAGACACCCCUGUAGUC